rnacentral:rRNA from 1 species
GGGUCAGUAGGUUGGUCGUGCCACCGGUACGUACUGGUCUCACUGAUUCCUCCUUCCUGAAGAACCUUAAUGCCAUUAAUUUGGUGUUGCGGGGAAACAGGACUUUUACUUUGAAAAAAUUAGAGUGUUUAAAGCAAGCUAAAGCUUGAAUACAUUAGCAUGGAAUAAUGAAAUAGGACGAUCGAUCCUAUUUUGUUGGUUUCUAGGAUUGACGUA